GACGAACGCUGGCGGCGUGCCUAACACAUGCAAGUCGAACGGAGAUAUGAUUUCGGUUGUAUCUUAGUGGCGAACGGGUGAGUAACGCGUGAGCAACCUGACUCUUAGAGGGGGAUAACACCCGGAAACGAGUGCUAAUACCGCAUAAGACCACGACCCGGCAUCGGGAUGAGGUCAAAGGAGCAAUCCGCUGAGAGAGGGGCUCGCGUCCCAUUAGAUAGAUGGCGGGGUAACGGCCCACCAUGUCAACGAUGGGUAGCCGAGCUGAGAGGCUGAUCGGCCACACUGGAACUGAGACACGGUCCAGACUCCUACGGGAGGCAGCAGUGGGGAAUAUUGGGCAAUGGGCGCAAGCCUGACCCAGCAACGCCGCGUGAGGGAAGAAGGCUUUCGGGUUGUAAACCUCUGUCCUUGGUGACGAAACAAAUGACGGUAGCCAAGGAGGAAGCCCCGGCUAACUACGUGCCAGCCGCCGCGGUAA
rnacentral:rRNA from 1 species